rnacentral:rRNA from 1 species
GAUGAACGCUGGCGGCGUGCCUAAUACAUGCCAGUCGAGCGAACAGACGAGGAGCUUGCUCCUCUGACGUUAGCGGCGGACGGGUGAGUAACACGUGGAUAACCUACCUAUAAGACUGGGAUAACUUCGGGAAACCGGAGCUAAUACCGGAUAAUAUUUUGAACCGCAUGGUUCAAUAGUGAAAGACGGUUUUGCUGUCACUUAUAGAUGGAUCCGCGCUGCAUUAGCUAGUUGGUAAGGUAACGGCUUACCAAGGCAACGAUGCGUAGCCGACCUGAGAGGGUGAUCGGCCACACUGGAACUGAGACACGGUCCAGACUCCUACGGGAGGCAGCAGUAGGGAAUCUUCCGCAAUGGGCGAAAGCCUGACGGAGCAACGCCGCGUGAGUGAUGAAGGUCUUCGGAUCGUAAAACUCUGUUAUUAGGGAAGAACAAAUGUGUAAGUAACUAUGCACGUCUUGACGGUACCUAAUCAGAAAGCCACGGCUAACUACGUG